GUGCUCACUUUGGCAACAUAUAUGCUAAAAGUGGAAUGAUCCAGAGACGAUUAGCAUGGCCCCUGUGAAAGAUGAUAUGCAAAUUUGUGAAGCAUUCCAUAUAUUU